rnacentral:piRNA from 1 species
UAGAAGGAAAAAGAGGGUUGGAUU